rnacentral:tRNA from 1 species
GCUCCGGUAGCUCAGAUGGAUAGAGCAACGGAUUUCUAAUCCGUCGGUCACAGGUUCGAGUCCUGUCCGGAGUACCA